UUACGGCCAUAUCACGUUGAAACAUUGGUUCCCUGACGAUCACCGAAGUUAAGCAACAUAGAACCUAGUCUGUACCUAGAUGGGUGACCGCUUUGGAAAUACCAGUUGCUGUAA